CUGCAUUCUGGCUGCAAAAACAGCUCCUGGUUUGAAACAACUUAAUGGAGAACCAGGAGAAAGAGGGGAAGAUGGUCUGCCUGGAAAACCAGGCCUUCGGGGAGAAAUUGGGGAGCAGGGCCUGGCAGGCCGACCUGGAGAGAAGGGAGAAGCAGGCCUCCCAGGGGCUCCAGGCUUCCCAGGUGUGAGAGGAGAGAAAGGAGACCAGGGAGAAAAAGGCGAACUGGGGCUUCCAGGACUGAAAGGUGACCGAGGUGAAAAGGGUGAAGCUGGUCCUGCAGGCCCUCCCGGUUUACCUGGAACUACAUCCCUGUUCACACCACAUCCACGGAUGCCCGGAGAACAAGGGCCCAAAGGAGAGAAGGGCGAUCCAGGCCUGCCUGGGGAACCGGGACUGCAGGGCCGUCCUGGAGAAUUGGGGCCUCGGGGACCCGCUGGACCACCGGGUGCCAAGGGACAGGAAGGUGCACAUGGGGCUCCUGGAGCAGCUGGAAACCCCGGUGCUCCUGGACAUGUCGGUCCCCCCGGUCCCAGUGGCCCUCCAGGAAGUGUGGGUGCUCCUGGCCUCAGAGGCCCCCCUGGGAAAGAUGGGGAGCGUGGUGAGAAGGGUGCAGCGGGGGAAGAAGGCAGCCCAGGGCCAGUUGGUCCCAGGGGAGAUCCUGGUGCUCCUGGGCUCCCUGGGCCACCCGGAAAAGGGAAGGAUGGAGAGCCGGGACUCCGUGGAUCACCUGGACUCCCUGGAACCCUAGGAACCAAGGGGGAUCGAGGAGCUCCUGGGAUCCCUGGUUCUCCUGGCAGCCGUGGUGACCCAGGCAUUGGGGUUGCUGGCCCUCCUGGCCCUUCCGGACCACCAGGAGACAAAGGACCCCCGGGAUCACGAGGCUUACCUGGAUUUCCUGGCCCCCAGGGCCCAGCCGGCCGGGACGGUGCACCAGGAAAUCCAGGAGAAAGAGGGCCUCCUGGCAAGCCGGGCCUCUCUUCACUACUGUCUCCAGGGGACAUAAAUCUCUUGGCUAAGGAUGUGUGCAAUGACUGCCCUCCUGGCCCCCCAGGCCUCCCUGGUCUACCAGGUUUUAAAGGGGACAAAGGUGUCCCAGGAAAGCCAGGGAGAGAAGGCACAGGAGGGAAAAAGGGAGAGGCUGGGCCUCCAGGCCUACCAGGGCCCCCAGGAAUAGCUGGACCACAGGGAAGUCAAGGAGAACGUGGUGCAGAUGGUGAGGUUGGACAGAAAGGUGAUCAGGGUCAUCCUGGAGUUCCAGGUUUCAUGGGGCCCCCAGGGAACCCUGGGCCACCAGGGGCAGAUGGAAUUGCGGGAGCUGCUGGACCACCAGGAAUCCAAGGGUCACCUGGGAAAGAAGGCCCUCCUGGCCCCCAAGGCCCAUCUGGAUUACCCGGAAUCCCAGGAGAAGAAGGCAAAGAGGGCAGAGAUGGAAAGCCGGGUCCCCCUGGAGAGCCGGGCAAAGCAGGAGAGCCAGGUCUACCAGGACCAGAGGGUGCCCGAGGCCCACCUGGCUUCAAGGGACACACAGGCGAUUCUGGUGCACCCGGUCCCCGGGGAGAGCCUGGUGCCAUGGGGCCUCCUGGUCAGGAAGGGUUACCAGGAAAAGAUGGUGACACUGGACCCACUGGGCCACAGGGUCCCCAAGGACCAAGGGGCCCACCGGGCAAGAAUGGAUCACCGGGAUCUCCAGGAGAGCCUGGCCCUUCAGGAACCCCUGGCCAGAAAGGAAGCAAAGGGGAAAAUGGCAGCCCAGGACUUCCUGGCUUCCUGGGUCCCCGUGGGCCUCCGGGAGAACCAGGAGAGAAAGGAGUCCCAGGCAAGGAGGGGGUCCCUGGGAAGCCUGGAGAGCCCGGAUUCAAAGGAGAAAGGGGAGAUCCUGGGAUCAAAGGUGACAAAGGACCUCCUGGUGGAAAAGGCCAGCCCGGGGACCCUGGAAUCCCAGGCCACAAAGGCCACACAGGCCUGAUGGGUCCCCAAGGACCACCUGGGGAGAACGGACCAGUUGGACCCCCAGGGCCUCCAGGCCAGCCGGGAUUUCCAGGACUGAGGGGGGAGUCUCCAUCCAUGGAAACCCUGCGUCGGCUUAUUCAAGAAGAGCUGGGGAAGCAGCUUGAAACCAGACUCGCCUACCUCCUGGCCCAGAUGCCCCCAGCGUACAUGAAGUCAUCUCAAGGCAGACCUGGGCCCCCAGGGCCCCCUGGAAAAGAUGGGCUUCCAGGCCGGGCCGGCCCCAUGGGGGAGCCAGGUCGUCCUGGGCAGAGGGGUCUGGAAGGACCCUCUGGACCCAUAGGUCCCAAAGGUGAGCGAGGAGCCAAAGGUGACCCAGGUGCACCUGGAGUUGGCCUCCGAGGCGAGAUGGGACCCCCUGGAAUCCCAGGUCAACCCGGGGAACCUGGCUAUGCUAAAGAUGGACUUCCUGGGAUCCCUGGCCCUCAAGGGGAGACAGGACCAGCUGGACAUCCUGGCCCCCCAGGACCUCCCGGUCCCCCAGGCCAAUGUGACCCUUCCCAGUGUGCCUACUUCGCCAGCCUUGCUGCCCGGCCGGGUAACGUGAAGGGUCCCUAGAGGACUCUGGAAAGCCAGAAGACUGCAGUGGAUUUCUGAAACUUGAACUCAGAGCCCAAUGGGAAGCCAGAGGUCUUGAAAGACUUCAGCCAUGUGUUCCUUUUUUUUUUCUUUCUUUUAUCAUUUGCUUUUUGUUUUAUUUUCUUGAGAGACCUCAAAAUUAUUAAAUCCAACAGACGCUGCCGGUCGGUCAGAUUAUUAUUAAUAUUAUUGUUGUUGUUAAUUAUUAUUAUUAUUUCAUAUGCUGAUGCUUUGUGAGUUCUUUUCCACUCCUUUAAAGUUGGGAAAACUUGAUUCGUGGGGCAGGAGAUUGUUUCUUCAUUCUUCUGACAGCCCCCAUCUGACGUGUAACUGCCCAUUUUAAGGAAACUCUUGGUGCUACAAAACCCUGACCAGACACUUGGCAAAUUUACCUCUUUCUUCAAAAGAAAAACUUUAAGAAAAUGAGCCAAUGGGCUUCAUUCUCAGUCAUGCCCGGAGAUCACCCAGGGAGAAAUAAUACAAACACCACCGCUGUCCAGAGAGAGUAAAGAAGCAGAAAGAGAAAGAAUUUGCAACCAUGAGGAAUGUUCCCACCUCCCGACGGGACGUGCAUUUGGAGAACACAGAAUCAGCCCUCAGGGUGCACUCCAGCCACCUCAGUGCUCUAAGCUCACAGAAGUGAAAUAAUGUCUGUGCGUUGGCAAUGGCUUUGUGGGAUCAUAUGUCUUGGCCAAAGAUGGGAAAACCCAUGUUGAAGAGGCAGCCCUUGAGUGUUAAUUUGUCUUCUAAACUGUGGGUAAGGCCCCUUCAAGUUCCUUUUGUUGGUUUCAAUUAUAUUAAUUAUAAAAUAAGUGGAUGUGGUGACCAUCCACUUGUGUUCCCUAAUGAUGGGCAGUUGGCCAGGGCACUGACCAGAGCUGGGAAAUUUGGAUCUCCAAGGCGGCUCUGUCUCUGAAAUAAAUGGCAUCAAGUGCAUGUGUGUAUGCGACAUGCCCUGCCUGAACAGGUGCUCAAUAAAUCCAAGUUUCCUUCUCUUGA
rnacentral:sRNA from 1 species